GGGGAAUAUUGCACAAUGGGGGAAACCCUGAUGCAGCGACGCCGCGUGGAGGAAGAAGGUCUUCGGAUUGUAAACUCCUGUUGUUGAGGAAGAUAAUGACGGUACUCAACAAGGAAGUGACGGCUAACUACGUGCCAGCAGCCGCGGUAAAACGUAGGUCACAAGCGUUGUCCGGAAUUACUGGGUGUAAAGGGAGCGCAGGCGGGAAGACAAGUUGGAAGUGAAAUCUAUGGGCUCAACCCAUAAACUGCUUUCAAAACUGUUUUUCUUGAGUAGUGCAGAGGUAGGCGGAAUUCCCGGUGUAGCGGUGGAAUGCGUAGAUAUCGGGAGGAACACCAGUGGCGAAGGCGGCCUACUGGGCACCAACUGACGCUGAGGCUCGAAAGUGUGGGUAGCAAACAGGAUUAGAUACCCUGGUAGUCCACACCGUAAACGAUGAUUACUAGGUGUCGGAGGAUUGACCCCUUCAGUGCCGCAGUUAACACAAUAAGUAAUCCACCUGGGGAGUACGACCGCAAGGUUGAAACUCAAAGGAAUUGACGGGGGCCCGCACAAGCAGUGGAGUAUGUGGUUUAAUUCGACGCAACGCGAAGAACCUUACCAAGUCUUGACAUCCUGCGACGAUGCUGGAAACAGCAUUUUCCUUCGGGACGCAGAGACAGGUGGUGCAUGGUUGUCGUCAGCUCGUGUCGUGAGAUGUUGGGUUAAGUCCCGCAACGAGCGCAACCCUUACUGUCAGUUACUACGCAAGAGGACUCUGGCAGGACUGCCGUUGACAAAACGGAGGAAGGUGGGGAUGACGUCAAAUCAUCAUGCCCUUUAUGACUUGGGCUACACACGUACUACAAUGGCGUUAAACAAAGAGAAGCAAGACCGCGAGGUGGAGCAAAACUCAGAAACAACGUCCCAGUUCGGACUGCAGGCUGCAACUCGCCUGCACGAAGUCGGAAUUGCUAGUAAUCGUGGAUCAGCAUGCCACGGUGAAUACGUUCCCG
rnacentral:rRNA from 1 species